rnacentral:rRNA from 1 species
GGGUUGUGAGGUUAAGCGACUAAGCGUACACGGUGGAUGCCCUGGCAGUCAGAGGCGAUGAAGGACGUGCUAAUCUGCGAUAAGCGUCGGUAAGGUGAUAUGAACCGUUAUAACCGGCGAUUUCCGAAUGGGGAAACCCAGUGUGAUUCGUCACACUAUCAUUAACUGAAUCCAUAGGUUAAUGAGGCGAACCGGGGGAACUGAAACAUCUAAGUACCCCGAGGAAAAGAAAUCAACCGAGAUUCCCCCAGUAGCGGCGAGCGAACGGGGAGCAGCCCAGAACCUGAAUCAGUGUGUGUGUUAGUGGAAGCGUCUGGAAAGGCGCGCGAUACAGGGUGACAGCCCCGUACACAAAAAUGCACAUGCUGUGAGCUCGAUGAGUAGGGCGGGACACGUGGUAUCCUGUCUGAAUAUGGGGGACCAUCCUCCAAGGCUAAAUACUCCUGACUGACCGAUAGUGAACCAGUACCGUGAGGGAAAGGCGAAAAGAACCCCGGCGAGGGGAGUGAAAAAGAACCUGAAACCGUGUACGUACAAGCAGUGGGAGCACGCUUCGGCGUGUGACUGCGUACCUUUUGUAUAAUGGGUCAGCGACUUAUAUUCUGUAGCAAGGUUAACCGAAUAGGGGAGCCGAAGGGAAACCGAGUCUUAACUGGGCGUUAAGUUGCAGGGUAUAGACCCGAAACCCGGUGAUCUAGCCAUGGGCAGGUUGAAGGUUGGGUAACACUAACUGGAGGACCGAACCGACUAAUGUUGAAAAAUUAGCGGAUGACUUGUGGCUGGGGGUGAAAGGCCAAUCAAACCGGGAGAUAGCUGGUUCUCCCCGAAAGCUAUUUAGGUAGCGCCUCGUGAAUUCAUCUCCGGGGGUAGAGCACUGUUUCGGCAAGGGGGUCAUCCCGACUUACCAACCCGAUGCAAACUGCGAAUACCGGAGAAUGUUAUCACGGGAGACACACGGCGGGUGCUAACGUCCGUCGUGAAGAGGGAAACAACCCAGACCGCCAGCUAAGGUCCCAAAGUCAUGGUUAAGUGGGAAACGAUGUGGGAAGGCCCAGACAGCCAGGAUGUUGGCUUAGAAGCAGCCAUCAUUUAAAGAAAGCGUAAUAGCUCACUGGUCGAGUCGGCCUGCGCGGAAGAUGUAACGGGGCUAAACCAUGCACCGAAGCUGCGGCAGCGACGCUUAUGCGUUGUUGGGUAGGGGAGCGUUCUGUAAGCCUGUGAAGGUGUGCUGUGAGGCAUGCUGGAGGUAUCAGAAGUGCGAAUGCUGACAUAAGUAACGAUAAAGCGGGUGAAAAGCCCGCUCGCCGGAAGACCAAGGGUUCCUGUCCAACGUUAAUCGGGGCAGGGUGAGUCGACCCCUAAGGCGAGGCCGAAAGGCGUAGUCGAUGGGAAACAGGUUAAUAUUCCUGUACUUGGUGUUACUGCGAAGGGGGGACGGAGAAGGCUAUGUUGGCCGGGCGACGGUUGUCCCGGUUUAAGCGUGUAGGCUGGUUUUCCAGGCAAAUCCGGAAAAUCAAGGCUGAGGCGUGAUGACGAGGCACUACGGUGCUGAAGCAACAAAUGCCCUGCUUCCAGGAAAAGCCUCUAAGCAUCAGGUAACAUCAAAUCGUACCCCAAACCGACACAGGUGGUCAGGUAGAGAAUACCAAGGCGCUUGAGAGAACUCGGGUGAAGGAACUAGGCAAAAUGGUGCCGUAACUUCGGGAGAAGGCACGCUGAUAUGUAGGUGAAGUCCCUCGCGGAUGGAGCUGAAAUCAGUCGAAGAUACCAGCUGGCUGCAACUGUUUAUUAAAAACACAGCACUGUGCAAACACGAAAGUGGACGUAUACGGUGUGACGCCUGCCCGGUGCCGGAAGGUUAAUUGAUGGGGUUAGCGGUAACGCGAAGCUCUUGAUCGAAGCCCCGGUAAACGGCGGCCGUAACUAUAACGGUCCUAAGGUAGCGAAAUUCCUUGUCGGGUAAGUUCCGACCUGCACGAAUGGCGUAAUGAUGGCCAGGCUGUCUCCACCCGAGACUCAGUGAAAUUGAACUCGCUGUGAAGAUGCAGUGUACCCGCGGCAAGACGGAAAGACCCCGUGAACCUUUACUAUAGCUUGACACUGAACAUUGAGCCUUGAUGUGUAGGAUAGGUGGGAGGCUUUGAAGUGUGGACGCCAGUCUGCAUGGAGCCGACCUUGAAAUACCACCCUUUAAUGUUUGAUGUUCUAACGUUGACCCGUAAUCCGGGUUGCGGACAGUGUCUGGUGGGUAGUUUGACUGGGGCGGUCUCCUCCUAAAGAGUAACGGAGGAGCACGAAGGUUGGCUAAUCCUGGUCGGACAUCAGGAGGUUAGUGCAAUGGCAUAAGCCAGCUUGACUGCGAGCGUGACGGCGCGAGCAGGUGCGAAAGCAGGUCAUAGUGAUCCGGUGGUUCUGAAUGGAAGGGCCAUCGCUCAACGGAUAAAAGGUACUCCGGGGAUAACAGGCUGAUACCGCCCAAGAGUUCAUAUCGACGGCGGUGUUUGGCACCUCGAUGUCGGCUCAUCACAUCCUGGGGCUGAAGUAGGUCCCAAGGGUAUGGCUGUUCGCCAUUUAAAGUGGUACGCGAGCUGGGUUUAGAACGUCGUGAGACAGUUCGGUCCCUAUCUGCCGUGGGCGCUGGAGAACUGAGGGGGGCUGCUCCUAGUACGAGAGGACCGGAGUGGACGCAUCACUGGUGUUCGGGUUGUCAUGCCAAUGGCACUGCCCGGUAGCUAAAUGCGGAAGAGAUAAGUGCUGAAAGCAUCUAAGCACGAAACUUGCCCCGAGAUGAGUUCUCCCUGACUCCUUGAGAGUCCUGAAGGAACGUUGAAGACGACGACGUUGAUAGGCCGGGUGUGUAAGCGCAGCGAUGCGUUGAGCUAACCGGUACUAAUGAACCGUGAGGCUUAACCUUACAACGCCGAAGGUGUUU